AGAGUUUGAUCAUGGCUCAGAGCGAACGCUGGCGGCAGGCCUAACACAUGCAAGUCGAGCGCCGUAGCAAUACGGAGCGGCAGACGGGAGAGUAACACGUGGGAACGUGCCCUUCAGUUCGGAACAACCCAGGGAAACUUGGGCUAAUACCGGAUACGUCCGUAAGGAGAAAGAUUUAUCGCUGAAGGAUCGGCCCGCGUCUGAUUAGCUAGUUGGUGGGGUAACGGCCCACCAAGGCGACGAUCAGUAGCUGGUCUGAGAGGAUGAUCAGCCUCACUGGGACUGAGACACGGCCCAGACUCCUACGGGAGGCAGCAGUGGGGAAUAUUGGACAAUGGGCGCAAGCCUGAUCCAGCCAUGCCGCGUGGGUGAUGAAGGCCCUAGGGUUGUAAAGCCCUUUCGGCGGGGAAGAUAAUGACGGUACCCGCAGAAGAAGCCCCGGCUAACUUCGUGCCAGCAGCCGCGGUAAUACGAAGGGGGCUAGCGUUGCUCGGAAUCACUGGGCGUAAAGCGCACGUAGGCGGCUUUUUAAGUCAGGGGUGGAAUCCUGGAGCUCAACUCCAGAACUGCCUUUGAUACUGAGAAGCUUGAGUCCGGGAGAGGUGAGUGGAACUGCGAGUGUAGAGGUGAAAUUCGUAGAUAUUCGCAAGAACACCAGUGGCGAAGGCGGCUCACUGGCCCGGUACUGACGCUGAGGUGCGAAAGCGUGGGGAGCAAACAGGAUUAGACACCCUGGUAGUCCACGCCGUAAACGAUGGAUGCUAGCCGUUGUCGGGUUUACCCGUCAGUGGCGCAGCUAACGCAUUAAGCAUCCCGCCUGGGGAGUACGGUCGCAGAUUAAACUCAAAGGAAUUGACGGGGCCCGCACAGCGGUGGAGCAUGUGGUCAUUCGAGCACGCGAGACCUUACCAGCCUUGACAUCCCGGUCGCGGG
rnacentral:rRNA from 1 species